UGGCUCAGGAUGAACGCUGGCGGCGUGCCUAAUACAUGCAAGUCGAGCGAAUGGAUUGAGAGCUUGCUCUCAAGAAGUUAGCGGCGGACGGGUGAGUAACACGUGGGUAACCUGCCCAUAAGACUGGGAUAACUCCGGGAAACCGGGGCUAAUACCGGAUAACAUUUUGAACUGCAUGGUUCGAAAUUGAAAGGCGGCUUCGGCUGUCACUUAUGGAUGGACCCGCGUCGCAUUAGCUAGUUGGUGAGGUAACGGCUCUCACCAAGGCAACGAUGCGUAGCCGACCUGAGAGGGUGAUCGGCCACACUGGGACUGAGACACGGCCCAGACUCCUACGGGAGGCAGCAGUAGGGAAUCUUCCGCAAUGGACGAAAGUCUGACGGAGCAACGCCGCGUGAGUGAUGAAGGCUUUCGGGUCGUAAACUCUGUUGUUAGGGAAGAACAAGUGCUAG
rnacentral:rRNA from 2 species